AAAGACUGCAGUUUUACACUAUUUAUGUUUAACGUUUGACCAUCCGUCUUAUUUAAAAAAAAAUAUGAUUAGUAUUUUUAUUGUUAUUAGGUGAUAAAACAUGAAUAGUACUUUAUGUGUGAUUAAUUUUUUAUAAUUUUUUCAUAAUUUUUUCAAAUAAGACGGAUGGUCAAACGUUAGACAUGGAAACCCACCACUACACUUAAA
rfam:Oryza punctata chromosome 11, whole genome shotgun sequence.